AUAAGCUGACGAGUCCCAAACAGGACGAAACGCGCGUCCUGGAU
rfam:Schistosoma haematobium scaffold423_15, whole genome shotgun sequence.